GACGAACGCUGGCGGCGUGCUUAACACAUGCAAGUCGAACGGACAGGCCCUGCUUUUGUGGGGUGCUCGAGUGGCGAACGGGUGAGUAACACGUGAGUAACCUGCCCUUGACUUUGGGAUAACUUCAGGAAACUGGGGCUAAUACCGGGUAGGAGCUCCUGCUGCAUGGUGGGCGUUGGAAAGUUUCGGCGGUUGGGUAUGGACUCGCGGCUUCUGAGCUAGCUGGUGGGGUAGUGGCUUACCAAGGCUUUGACGGGUAGCCGGCCUGAGAGGGUGAGCGGCCACAAUGGGACUGAGAUACGGCCCAGACUCCUACGGGAGGCAGCAGUGGAGAAGAUUGCACAACGGGCGGAAGCCUGAUGCAGCGACGCCGCGUGCGGGAUGACGGCCUUCUGGUUGUAAACCGCUUUCGCCUGUGACGAAGCGUGAGUGACGGUAAUGGGUAAAGAAGCACCGGCUAACUACGUG
rnacentral:rRNA from 1 species